GAUGAAGAACGUAGCGAAAUGCGAUAAGUAAUGUGAAUUGCAGAAUUCAGUGAAUCAUCGAAUCUUUGAACGCACAUUGCGCCCCUUGGUAUUCCGAGGGGCAUGCCUGUUCGAGCGUCAUUAUAACCCUUCAAGCUCAGCUUGGUGUUGGGGCCUGCCGCACGGGCAGCCCUUAAAAUCAGUGGCGGUGCCAUCUGGCUCUAAGCGUAGUAAUUCUUCUCGCUAUAGAGUCCCGGUGGAUGCUUGCCAUUAACCCCCAAUUUUCUAUGGUUGACCUCGGAUCAGGUAGGGAUACCCGCUGAACUUAAGCAUAUCAAUAAGCGGAGGA
rnacentral:misc_RNA from 1 species